rnacentral:tRNA from 1 species
GGUGGCUCAGUGGUAGAGUGCUUGUCUUGCAUGCAUGAGGUCCUGGGUUCAAUCCCUCAGCACCA